UACGAAGGGGACUAGCGUUGUUCGGAAUCACUGGGCGUAAAGCGCACGUAGGCGGAUUUGUAAGUCAGGGGUGAAAUCCCGGGGCUCAACCUCGGAACUGCCUUUGAUACUGCGAAUCUUGAGUCCGAUAGAGGUGGGUGGAAUUCCUAGUGUAGAGGUGAAAUUCGUAGAUAUUAGGAAGAACACCAGUGGCGAAGGCGGCCCACUGGAUCGGUACUGACGCUGAGGUGCGAAAGCGUGGGGAGCAAACAGGAU
rnacentral:rRNA from 1 species